GACCGCGUAGCUCAGUUGGAAGAGCAUUGGGCUAGUAUUCCAAAGGUCGUAGGUUCGAAUCCCACCGUGACCU
rnacentral:tRNA from 1 species